rnacentral:lncRNA from 1 species
CUCCCUUCCAUGGAGGUUAUCUUCCUCCUACAAUGGAGUGUCUUUUAUAUGGAACUCAUUCCGGUUCCUUUGUAUUUCUUUCCUCCUUUUAUGGAGUUCAAUUCAAUAUUGUUUCUUGCUUCAAUGAUGAAGCCUUUCAUAUUGUUUUCAUUCAAGAAUUUAAUAUGGUAUCAGAGCAUUUUCUCAUGGCUUCUAGCUACUGCUACUAUUUCAGUUCUGAAAUGGAGCUGACCUCAAGGAUAGUGAAAUCUGAAGAUAACUUUGGCUUCACAUAGUGAAAUCCUCUCCUGUUCAGAACCAUAUACAUUCUGCGCUAUGAAUCCAGAAUGCUGCUCACGAUUUGGAAGUCUCUUGUUUGAAGAUUUCAUUUCAAAUUGCCAGAUCAUUAUAGACGUGAAAAGUUGUGGACAGUUCUAUUUCUAUUUACUUACAAAUUACAGUUAGUUUGGCAAUGCUUCCAAGUCUCAGAGUUCUCUAUCAAAAAUUAUUGGUGGAAGUCAUGCAUUGGGUUCUGUUCUCGUGGCAGCCAAUUAUUAUGGCAGAGAUAAGAACACACAGGAAUUACUAGAGCACAUCAACACGCAGGAAUGUUUUUUUUCUCUCUCCAAUACAUUCAAUACUUUCUUUAAUCUUCAAGAUGGACUAUUGUUGAUCUUCCAAGUCCAUCUUGAGGGGGGUGUAUCAGAAUAUUCUAGCUUACACCAGAAUCUUCCAACCCCAAUUCCCAGAUUCUUGAUCCCAGAUAUCUCAGUUCCAACGGAUCAGAUUCAACUCCAGCUUCUUCCACAGAUCAUCCUAGCUGUCUCCAGUUGUCCACAGCUGUGUUAGUUAGUGGUUAUGAUAAUUAGGUUAGUUGUUAGUUAGUUGGUCUCUUACUCUAUAAAUACAUCACUGGGUGUUCAUUGUAGUUCAUUGGAGAAUUUCUUCUUCCAAUCC